UACUGACAAGAUGUUUACAAGGCUGCAUAUUCAAGCACGGGAAGACAUGAUCCGGUAUCAUGUCACUCCUGCUGCGAGUUUAUGGCCGUCGCUGGAUGAGGAAUCCGACUGUGUAUGUAGUUUAUCUACAUCUGUUUCGGAUUUGGCCGCCGAAUAGAUCACUUAAGUGCUUUUGUCGAUGUCCCCCACGCACACUAUUGACAUUGCCCAUUUUCUCUGUGUGUUAUUGUGUCCU